GAUGAAGAACGUAGUGAAAUGCGAUAAGUAAUGUGAAUUGCAGAAUUCAGUGAAUCAUCGAAUCUUUGAACGCACAUUGCGCCCCCUGGUAUUCCGGGGGGCAUGCCUGUUCGAGCGUCAUUUCACCACUCAAGCCUCGCUUGGUAUUGGGCAACGCGGUCCGCCGCGUGCCUCAAAUCGACCGGCUGGGUCUUCUGUCCCCUAAGCGUUGUGGAAACUUUCGCUAAAGGGUGUUCGGGAGGCUACGCCGUAAAACAACCCCAUUUCUAAGGUUGACCUCGGAUCAGGUAGGGAUACCCGCUGAACUUAAGCAUAUCAAUAAGCGGAGA
rnacentral:misc_RNA from 1 species